GUCAGCUUUUUACAUGUGAAUAUUCUCUAGUUUCUUCUCUCCUCUUUGACAGUCAAGUGAAUAUCUUUGAAGAGGUGUGGACAAAACAAGACAUUUUAG